AUGGCUCAGGAUGAACGCUGGCGGCGUGCCUAACACAUGCAAGUCGAACGGAGAUUUAACGCUGAUGAGGCUUCGGCCAAGUCUUGUUAAAUCUUAGUGGCGGACGGGUGAGUAACGCGUGGGCAACCUGCCUCGUACUGGGGGAUAACAGUUGGAAACGACUGUUAAUACCGCAUAAGCGCACGGUGUCGCAUGACACAGUGUGAAAAACUCCGGUGGUACGAGAUGGGCCCGCGUCAGAUUAGCCAGUUGGUGGGGUAACGGCCUACCAAAGCAACGAUCUGUAGCCGGACUGAGAGGUCGGACGGCCACAUUGGGACUGAGACACGGCCCAAACUCCUACGGGAGGCAGCAGUGGGGGAUAUUGCACAAUGGGCGAAAGCCUGAUGCAGCGACGCCGCGUGAGUGAAGAAGUAUUUCGGUAUGUAAAGCUCUAUCAGCAGGGAAGAAAGACUCGUAAGAGAGAUGACGGUACCUGACUAAGAAGCCCCGGCUAACUACGUGCCAGCCGCCGC
rnacentral:rRNA from 1 species